AUUGAACGCUGGCGGCAUGCCUUACACAUGCAAGUCGAACGGCAGCGGGGGAGAAGCUUGCUUUUCCUGCCGGCGAGUGGCGAACGGGUGAGUAAUACAUCGGAACGUGCCCUGUAGUGGGGGAUAACUAGUCGAAAGAUUAGCUAAUACCGCAUACGACCUGAGGGUGAAAGUGGGGGACCGCAAGGCCUCAUGCUAUAGGAGCGGCCGAUGUCUGAUUAGCUAGUUGGUGGGGUAAAGGCCUACCAAGGCGACGAUCAGUAGCUGGUCUGAGAGGACGAUCAGCCACACUGGGACUGAGACACGGCCCAGACUCCUACGGGAGGCAGCAGUGGGGAAUUUUGGACAAUGGGCGAAAGCCUGAUCCAGCAAUGCCGCGUGUGUGAAGAAAGCCUUCGGGUUGUAAAGCACUUUUGUCCGGAAAGAAAUGGCUCUGGUUAAUACCUGGGGUCGAUGACGGUACCGGAAGGAUAAGGACCGGCUAACUACGUGCCAGCCGCCGCAGUAA
rnacentral:rRNA from 1 species